rnacentral:lncRNA from 10 species
AAAACACAAAAAUUAGCCAGGCAUGUUGGCAGGCGCCUAAUCCUAGCUAUUCCAGGGGAUGAGAUGGGAGUAUUAUUGCUUGAACCUGGGAGGCACAGGUUGCAGUGAGCUGAGAUCGUGCCACUACAUUCCAGCCUGGAUGACAGAGCUAGACUGUCUCCAAAAAAAAAAAAGGAAGAUGGUGGAAGACUGCACAUAAGGAACAUGUAUGUCUGACAUCUGAUUCUGGUUUCCACAGACUGGUAAACCUGCAGAGAACACCCAGCAAAAUUCUGCAAUAUUUUAAAAUUCAGUUUGUGGGAAACUUGUUUCCCUCCCUGCAACCCCCACCCCCACUUGUUUUUGGAUGGGAGUGAAUGGGGGUUCAGGCUAAAACUCAACUGGGAGUCAGAGGGCGAGUUCUUUGCAGUUCUGCCACUGACUAUCUGAACCAACUGAUGCGUCAAAAGUUUUCCUGAACCUUAGGUUCUUCAUUUGUAAUAAAGGAAUAAUCUCUAAGGUUUCUUAAAAUUCUGAUUUGAAUUUUAAAACUCUGAGUUACUGCUGCCACUGCCCAAAAAUAUUUGGGAAACUUUUUGGAACUGCUUCCAUAUGUUUGAUGAAGCUCUUAAGAAAACUUGUGUCAAUCUCAUAGCCACAUCUCCAUUUGAACCAAGUACGACAUUACCUAGCUUGAUUCACAUCACAUUAACUUCAAAUGACACAGCUCUUUUUAAAACUAAAAUCUUCAACAGGAAAUUUGUCUCUGUUAAAUAUAUGUAAAAUUUAGAUUCUCCUCUAAAAAGCCAUUUAAAAGUAUUUUGAAUGGUAACAUUAUUAGAAUUAGCAUAUAGCUUUCCAGAGUAAUUUCUUUGAAGAGACAAGGCACAUUAACUUGGUGUACUGUUUCAUAAGACUCUUACAAAGUCAUCCUAAUUAAAGACAUGUUAAAUAUAAGAAAAAGGCUUUAGAAUCGAUAAAAUACACAGUAUGUAGGUUUUAAAAAAGCUAUUUGUAAUACUAUAUCUCAAACUACCUUUUUCCAUUUUUGGAACACUUGGGUUGGAACACAGAACCCUAAAUGUUAACGCUUUCUUUAUUGUAACUAUAAGGCAGUGGUUCUAAAAUGUUGCUGCACAAUGAAAUCACCUAGAGAUAUUUUAAAAAUAAAGAUGCCUGGCUCCCUUUCCCAAACACUGACUUAAUUGGUAUGGAGUAGGAGCUAAGACACAGGCUUAUGAAAAGCUUCCCAGCUAUUUCUAAUGUGAGGCAAAGUAACCACGGGAUUCAAGUGAAUUAAUGUCCUACAAUUCAGAAAUAAUUUACAGAUUAUAUAGAUUAGUAUUUUUCCUUUUUGGGCAGUGACAGUAUCACUUACCUGAAAUAGACAAGUUUCUCAAAGUUAAGACAGUGCAGGCCGGGUGUGAUGGCUCACGCCUAUAAUGCCAGCACUUUGGGAAGCUGAGGCAGGUGGAUCACCUGAGAUCAGGAGUUUGAGACCAGCCUGGCCAACAUGGUGAAACCCCGUCUCUACUGAAAAUAUAAAAAAUUAGCCAGGCAUGGUUGUG